rnacentral:rRNA from 1 species
GACGAACGCUGGCGGCGUGCUUAACACAUGCAAGUGGAGCGACGAACCGGGCUUCGGCCCGGGGCAGAGCCGCGAACGGGUGAGUAACACGUGGGUAACCUGCCCCAAUGAUUGGGACAACCCCGGGAAACCGGGGCUAAUACCAAAUGUGCUCACGUCCCACGAGGGACGUGAGGAAAGGAAGCUUCGGCCUCCGCGUUGGGAUGGGUCCGCGGCGCAUUAGCUUGUUGGUGGGGUAACGGCCUACCAAGGCUUCGAUGCGUAGCUGGUCUGAGAGGACGAUCAGCCACACUGGGACUGAGACACGGCCCAGACUACUACGGGAGGCAGCAGUGGGGAAUCUUGCGCAAUGCGCGAAAGCGUGACGCAGCAACGCCGCGUGCGGGAAGACGGCCUUCGGGUUGUAAACCGCUUUCAGUUGGGACGAAGCUCCGCCGGUGAAUAGCCGGCCGGAGUGACGGUACCUUCAGAAGAAGCCCCGGCUAACUACGUGCCAGCCGCCGCAGUAAUAC